GGACUUUAUUCGAAGUAUUCGUUUAAUUAUAUCCGAAGAUUGUUUCAAGACAACUGUUCGUCACUUUGUCGUUUCUCCAUUCAUCGAGGGAUCGAUUCGACCAUACGUUUUCUCUAUUCUGAAACUUAACGAUUCGAAGAACCCGUGGUCCAAGGAGCGAACAGAGCUUCACGGUAAUUCGUGACCGAUCUGCUAACCGGCUGACAGGAAGAAAGAAUCUCGGUGCUUCCGAGAAGACAAUCAAAGGGAGCUAGGCCGCGACGGCGCGACGGCGGCGGCCAUUUGGGCAUUGACGACUUAAAAAAAUCCAAACUGC
rnacentral:misc_RNA from 1 species